AUGCGAUAGAUCGAUAAUCGCGGUUGGUUCGAUACGCAUCGAUUCCAGAUACGCCUGGUAAAAUCUCGUCGACGUUGCCGAACUGGCGGAAACUAGGAUGCUCGAUGUUUACACAAGUAGUAAUUAUAGCGUGGGUACUCUCUGUGUGCUCUUUCGUAUUCGGUUUGACUGACGUUUGCCUGAAAAAAGAAAACAGGAAAUACGUGAGGAUGACAUAUUGACCAGCUAACGAAUGCACAGUGAUCGUGAGGUUGAAAGGAAGGAGGACACGAGUACCGAAGGAUCGUGUCGUUAAGGAUGACUCAGCGAGCUAUCAGAGUCGUGUGCCGUGUGAAACGGAGACACACGGACGCCUCCGCAAUACGUCGAAAGCGAUCAACGAACAGCGCAAUAUGUAAUCUGCGACGUCGUUUGCUUACGAUCGUGUUGAAACUAUCUCUGAUCAGCACGACCAAGUGCUUGCAAAUCGAUUGCGACGAAUGCGAAAGAAAGUUAAUUGGACGUAUUCUAUGUUCUCGACGUCGCCAGUUCUUGUCUCGUCGUGCCGUCGUCGUCUCCUCGUCUCGGAUCGACUCUUUCGUCUUGUUAAAAACCAACGAAGCUGGAUAUAAAUGUCGACGAUGGACGGGUGGGUACGCGUUAAGUGCGGCGGAUCAUCGAACGAGGUAAAAGAAGAAUGUAUGUCUGCGUGCGCACGCAACGAGAAGACCUGAAAACUAGAAAACCAGAAAGAUAACUGGUUCUAUCUUCCCUUUGGCAUUAGAGUUACAUACCUACAUGUAUGUAUAUAUGUAGGUGCUUGCGUUCGAGACACGGGUACUCUCUCUCACACUUGUCGACGAUGUCCUCGAGUUUCGAGGACGGCCAAGAAUCGACGUUCGUUAUCGCGUGCGCGCGUAACGGCUGUAGAGGCUGCGACAACAGGUGUUCUUUUGCGACGUCGCUCCCGCCACCUCUUCUCCCGCUCUUGUCCUUUUCAAGAUCCGGAACGAGACCUCCUUCGAUCAUCGUCAUCGACUAAAUCGCCGUUCCUACCUUCCUUCCACUUUCCUACCGAAAUCCCCAGUCCGAGUUCCUCCGAUUUCACCGAUCGUCUCGGAUAGCUUGGGAAUUUCCGAACGAUCGAUGCCAACGUUCACGUAACGCUCCGAAUUUAGAUGGAAACGCGUACGUCUAAAAUCACUCUGCAUCUCGUGCUAAAUCUACAUCGAUCU